rnacentral:rRNA from 1 species
GCAGGUGGCAAGCGUUGUCCGGAAUUAUUGGGCGUAAAGCGCGCGCAGGCGGUCCUUUAAGUCUGAUGUGAAAGCCCACGGGCUCAACCGUGGAGGGUCAUUGGAAACUGGGGGACUUGAGUACAGAAGAGGAAAGCGGAAUUCCAAGUGUAGCGGUGAAAUGCGUAGAGAUUUGGAGGAACACCAGUGGCGAAGGCGGCUUUCUGGUCUGUAACUGACGCUGAGGCGCGAAAGCGUGGGGAGCAAACAGGAUUAGAUACCCUGGUAGUCCACGCCGUAAACGAUGAGUGCUAAGUGUUAGGGGGUUUCCGCCCCUUAGUGCUGCAGCUAACGCAUUAAGCACUCCGCCUGGGGAGUACGGCCGCAAAGGCUGA